GACGAACGCUGUCGGCGUGCUUAACACAUGCAAGUCGAACGGAAAGGCCCUGCUUUUGUGGGGUGCUCGAGUGGCGAACGGGUGAGUAACACGUGAGUAACCUGCCCUUGACUUUGGGAUAACUUCAGGAAACUGGGGCUAAUACCGGAUAGGAGCUCCUGCUGCAUGGUGGGGUUUGGAAAGUUUCGGCGGUUGGGGAUGGACUCGCGGCUUAUCAGCUUGUUGGUGGGGUAGUGGCUUACCAAGGCUUUGACGGGUAGCCGGCCUGAGAGGGUGACCGGCCACAUUGGGACUGAGAUACGGCCCAGACUCCUACGGGAGGCAGCAGUGGGGAAUAUUGCACAAUGGGCGGAAGCCUGAUGCAGCAACGCCGCGUGCGGGAUGACGGCCUUCGGGUUGUAAACCGCUUUCGCCUGUGACGAAGCGUGAGUGACGGUAAUGGGUAAAGAAGCACCGGCUAACUACGUGCCAGCAGCCGCGGUGAUACGUAGGGUGCGAGCGUUGUCCGGAUUUAUUGGGCGUAAAGGGCUCGUAGGUGGUUGAUCGCGUCGGAAGUGUAAUCUUGGGGCUUAACCCUGAGCGUGCUUUCGAUACGGGUUGACUUGAGGAAGGUAGGGGAGAAUGGAAUUCCUGGUGGAGCGGUGGAAUGCGCAGAUAUCAGGAGGAACACCAGUGGCGAAGGCGGUUCUCUGGGCCUUUCCUGACGCUGAGGAGCGAAAGCGUGGGGAGCGAACAGGCUUAGAUACCCUGGUAGUCCACGCUGUAAACGGUGGGUACUAGGUGUGGGGUCCAUUCCACGGGUUCCGUGCCGUAGCUAACGCUUUAAGUACCCCGCCUGGGGAGUACGGCCGCAAGGCUAAAACUCAAAGGAAUUGACGGGGCCCCGCACAAGCGGCGGAGCAUGCGGAUUAAUUCGAUGCAACGCGUAGAACCUUACCUGGGUUUGACAUGGAUCGGGAGUGCUCAGAGAUGGGUGUGCCUCUUUUGGGGUCGGUUCACAGGUGGUGCAUGGCUGUCGUCAGCUCGUGUCGUGAGAUGUUGGGUUAAGUCCCGCAACGAGCGCAACCCUUGUUCACUGUUGCCAGCACGUUAUGGUGGGGACUCAGUGGAGACCGCCGGGGUCAACUCGGAGGAAGGUGGGGAUGACGUCAAGUCAUCAUGCCCCUUAUGUCCAGGGCUUCACGCAUGCUACAAUGGCUGGUACAGAGAGUGGCGAGCCUGUGAGGGUGAGCGAAUCUCGGAAAGCCGGUCUCAGUUCGGAUUGGGGUCUGCAACUCGACCUCAUGAAGUCGGAGUCGCUAGUAAUCGCAGAUCAGCAACGCUGCGGUGAAUACGUUCCCGGG
rnacentral:rRNA from 1 species